GGAGGAGUGACUGAGUGGUCCAAAGUAGCAGGUUGCUAACCUGUGCCUGCCAAAAGCGGGCCGUGGGUUCGAAUCCCACCUCCUCCG
rnacentral:tRNA from 1 species